AACGAACGCUGGCGGCAGGCCUAACACAUGCAAGUCGAGCGAGGACUUCGGUCCUAGCGGCGGACGGGUGAGUAACGCGUGGGAACGUGCCCUUUGCUACGGAAUAGCCCCGGGAAACUGGGAGUAAUACCGUAUGUGCCCUUCGGGGGAAAGAUUUAUCGGCAAAGGAUCGGCCCGCGUUGGAUUAGGUAGUUGGUGGGGUAAUGGCCUACCAAGCCGACGAUCCAUAGCUGGUUUGAGAGGAUGAUCAGCCACACUGGGACUGAGACACGGCCCAGACUCCUACGGGAGGCAGCAGUGGGGAAUCUUAGACAAUGGGGGAAACCCUGAUCUAGCCAUGCCGCGUGAGCGAUGAAGGCCUUAGGGUUGUAAAGCUCUUUCAGUGGGGAAGAUAAUGACGGUACCCACAGAAGAAGCCCCGGCUAACUCCGUGCCAGCAGCCGCAGUAACAC
rnacentral:rRNA from 1 species